UUCCGGGGGCGUGGGUCGUGGGCGCUGGGAGCUCCCGAUACGCGGAUCCCCGCUGGACAGGGUGAAGGCGCAGGCGACCUGCCUAGAGAGUCAGGGACUUUCUGCAGCUCUUUGCUGGUGGGGCUGCUCCUUCUGCCAGGAUCCCAGGAUGAAGACAAUGUGUGAGAGCCACGGCUGGCCUGGGGUCAAUGUGUAAUGCACAGCUCUAAACUGUUCAAGGGUCGGGCCGGUUCUAGACUCUGGUCUUCACUCAAGGGCUGACGUAUCUACCGAAAGAAUAAAUAAGCAAGUGAAUAUCUCCAAUGGAACUGUUGAAGUUCCUUGGAGUCUGGCCAUGGGUUUCCACCUGCUGAAUGCAACUUCCUUACUCUUCCAUCCCAAUGUAGAAGAAUAAACAGUGGCAUUGUUCUGUC